UAUGAAGGUCAGGCUGAAGACCUUACCCGAUUAGCUGAGAGGUGGUGCAUGGCUGUCGUCAGUUCGUACUGUGAAGCAUCCUGUUAAGUCAGGCAACGAGCGAGACCCACGUCCACAGUUGCCAGCAUACCCUCCGGGGUGAUGGGUACACUGUGGAGACCGCCGCUGCUAAAGCGGAGGAAGGAGUGGGCAACGGUAGGUCAGUAUGCCCCGAAUCUCCCGGGCUACACGCGGGCUACAAUGGUUGGUACAAUGGGCAUCUACCCCGAAAGGGGAAGGAAAUCUCUUAAAGCCAAUCGUAGUUCGGAUUGAGGGCUGCAACUCGCCCUCAUGAAGCUGGAAUCCGUAGUAAUCGCGUUUCAACAGAACGCGGUGAAUACGUCCCUGCUCCUU
rnacentral:rRNA from 1 species